rnacentral:piRNA from 1 species
AUUUGUGCUGUGUGUCUUCGAG